rnacentral:misc_RNA from 1 species
AAUGUGUAUAAGAGACAGGUGAAUCAUCGAAUCUUUGAACGCAACUUGCACUCUUUGGAUCUACUGGAGAGUAUACUUGUUUGAGUAUCAGAAUAAUCUUUCCUACUAUACUUUCUUAGGAAAGCUUGGUAAGAUAUUGAGGUAUCAUACUUUUUAUGUACCUUUAAAUGAAUUUCAUCAAAAGUGUGGUAAAAGACAGAUGUUCUUUCCCGCUGACCAGAUGUUUUAUUAUAUAUAUUUCAUAUGAUCUCAAAUCAAGUAAGAUUACCCGCCGAACUUAAGCAUAUCAAUAAGCGGAGG